AGUGAACGCUGGCGGUAGGCCUAACACAUGCAAGUCGAACGGCAGCACUGUAAGAGCUUUCUCUUACGGGUGGCGAGUGUCGGACGGGUCAUGAAUACAUCGGAUUCUACUUUUUCGUGGGUGUUAACGUAAGUCCACUUACUCUAAUACCGCAUACUACCUACGGGUAAAAUCCUUGGUUCUUCGUACUUUUUGUGCUUCUUUUAGCAGAUCUCGGAUUAGCUAGUUGGCUUGGUAAAGUCCAACCAAGGCAACGAUGCGUAGCUGGUCUGAGAGGAUGAUCGGCCACACGGGAACUGAGACACGGUCCAGACUCCUACGGGAGGCAGCAGUAGGGAAUAUGAGACAAUGGGGGAAAGCAUGACGGAGCAAAGCCGCGUGAGUGAAGAAGGAAUUCGGAUUGUAAAGCUCUUUUAUUGGGAAAGAAAAGAAGAAAGAUAAAACCAUAACGAAGUGACGGUACCCAAAGAAAAAGCAACGGCUAACUACGUG
rnacentral:rRNA from 1 species